rnacentral:tRNA from 1 species
GGCUAUGUAGUGUAAUGGUUUGCAUAUCACACUGUCAAUGUGAAGGUUAGGGUUCAAUUCCCUCAUAGCCU